AUGUGGCUUCAGAACACAGGAAAUGCUGUUUGGUCUCAGCUCGGGUUGCUGUAUUGCGUGGUUCGACCCCUGGCCUGCGAAGAAAGAAGCCUGGAAUCUGAGCAGCCCUUCCCCUCACAGGAGGAGAAGGCCGUUGUCUCCCCACGGGGGGCGCUGAGGGGAGCGUGGAUUUCCAGCCACGUUCCUGCUUGGCUUCGGGCACCUGCUCAGAGCCGCUUUGUCCUGCACCCUUGGCGCCACAAUGAGACGGAAAGUGGGGUUGGCCGUCUUGCCUCUCCUGUGGUUCAUGCCUCAGGCAUCAGUGACAAAGUCAAGAGAAAAAGAAGAGUUGCCAUAAACAAAUCUUUCAAAACCUGGGAGCCGUGCACAAAGACCAUGGACCCCCUGGGCUGCGAGCCCCUCCCCGCCCCGCUCCAUCCUCCACACCCACCGGACGCCUGGCUGUGGCGUGGCGGGCUCUGUGUCCACCUGCGGCCCCUCUGCGGCCCCACCUGGCAGGGGCCCAGGGGUUAGGAUGCAGGUCCCUCUGCGGCGUUGCUGUCGGACUGCAGGCUGGCUUGGAGUGACCUCCCUCUGGCACCCUUCAGGGAAGACUUGACUGCUGUGCAAACCGCCGCCCGGGCCCCUCUGCCUGAGCCAGCCCGUGCAGGUGCCACACCUCCGCCUCCCGCCACCAUCCGUCCAGACCUGGGCCUGCCCCUCCCCCUCCUCCCUCCCCCCUCCUCCUCCCCUCCCCCCCUUCUCCCCCCUCCACCCUUCCCCGCUCCUCUUCAUGCCCAGCCCUCCUCUGUCUGGUCCACCCUCCCUCUGUCCACCGGCCACACUGGCCCCCGGGGGGAUGUGAGCUCUGGGGCCGGGGGAGGGGGGCGCAGGGCGUCUGGCUGCUGCCAUCUUCUUCCUCCUGGAGACUUCAUCCUGCGGAACCCACCCAUCGCUCCGUCCCGCUAAGUGAGCCUGUAGCGACUGUGGGUUGUUCAUGCCACCGGGACAGCCAGUGCCAAAUGUUCUCGGCCCCACGCGGGACCUCCCGAGGGAGAGGCCCUCCCGUGGGGUCAGACUGAGCAAAUGACGUAGAAUUUGGGAGAAAAUAAGCUCUCCCAGUCCUGUUUCCCCCUCAUCUAACUG
rnacentral:lncRNA from 1 species